UAUUGCUCUUUAACGAGGAAUCCCUAGUAAGUACAAGUCACUAGCUUGUGCUGAUUACGUCCCUGCCCUUUGUACACACCGCCCGUCGCUACUACCGAUUGAAUGGCUUAGUGAGGCCCUCGGAUUGAGGCUCGGAGAUUGGAAACAGUUUCUUGGUUUUGAAAAGUUGGUCAAACUUGGUCAUUUAGAGGAAGUAAAAGUCGUAACAAGGUUUCCGUAGGUGAACCUGCGGAAGGAUCAUUACCGAUUUUUAGCGGACCUGAUCUUUGGUCAUGGUCUCGCGAAAACUUGUAUUUAAAACCCCACUCUUAUAAAUUGAAUCAUUUUAUAUCAUGUAUAUAAUAAAUAAAGAUCACUUUCAACAACGGAUCUCUUGGCUCUCGCAUCGAUGAAGAACGUAGCGAAGUGCGAUAAGUAAUGUGAAUUGCAGAAUUCCGUGAAUCAUCGAAUCUUUGAACGCAAAUUGCACUCUCUUCAGAGAGUAUGCCUGUUUGAGGGUCAGUAAUUAAUAAAAAUCGGUGUGUUGCUCUUUUGUGACGUUCCGGAGUUUGGGUUAUCUUAGCUUUUUUUGGUUAAGAGGCUUAAAAUUGACCUUUUUUGCGCAUUUUUUAGACGUACAUAAAUUUUUUUUUUAUUCGUCUAUACCUAAUGCCAAAAUCUUAUUAGAUGCGAUCAUAUCGUGUGAUUUCGUGUCUAUAAAUUUUUCAUGAUUUGACCUCAAAUCAGGUAAGAGUACCCGCUGAACUUAAGCAUAUCAAUAAGCGGAGGAAAAGAAAAUAACAAUGAUUCCCUUUAGUAACGGCGAGUGAAGGGGGAUAAGCUCAAAUUUUAAAUCUGCUAGGUUUUACUUAUCAGAGUUGUAAUUUGAAGAAGCGUUUUCCGCGUCUCGGUUGACCCAAAUCCUUUGGGAUAAGGUAUCAUGGAGGGUGAGAAUCCCGUUCGGUUGACCUUAUGACGCUUUACGAUACGUUUUCUAAGAGUCGAGUUGUUUGGGAUUGCAGCUCAAAAUGGGAGGUAAAUUUCUCCUAAGGCUAAAUAUUGGCGAGAGACCGAUAGCGAACAAGUACCGUGAGGGAAAGAUGAAAAGAACUUUGAAAAGAGAGUAAAAUAGUACGAAAGGGAAACGAUUGAAGUCAGUCGUACCGACGAAAAAUCAGCUCUUUGAGUGCGGACUUGUGGGUUUACGUGAGCUUUACGGCCUCGCUGUUUGCAAUGUUCGUUCUUUUUGGGUGUACUUUUUCGUAUGGUAGGCCAAUAUCAGUUUUGAUCGCUAUAAAAUGACCGGCGGAAUGUAGCUUCGAUCUCGUAUUGAAGUGUUUAUAGCCUCUGGUAGAUGUGGUGAUUGGGACUGAGGAUUGCAACGAAUACCUUCUGGGCUAUCCGUCUGAUCUCUGAAAGUUGCUUAGGUGCCGAAAGCGUGCUUACGGUUAUUUAAGUUGACGGUCAAAAGGUUAGAACGUGAUUAAAUUCGUUAAGGAUGUUGGCGUAAUGGCUUUAAACGACCCGUCUUGAAACACGGACCAAGGAGUCUAGCAUAUAUGCGAGUGUU
rnacentral:rRNA from 1 species